ensembl:lncRNA
CAAAUAUUCCACCUGGUGACUUUUUCCUGGCUCCUCCCCUUUCCUAGACCGCUUUCCCCACUGCCUCCCACUGUAACCUCCAACCCUAAAUGUCACCUCAGUGGGGCCUUCCCUGACCACACCCUCGGGAAAAUCCCCAGGCAUUGGGUAUCACCCCUUUUUAGCCCUCUGGCAAAAGCGCACAGCUCAGCCCACAGGGAAUCAUGGGGGCAGGAGGGAAGCUUCUUAAAGAAAAGGAGCUUAAAAAGUCAGUGGCCCUGGGGAAAAGGAGGUGAAGGGGUGCGGCCGGAGCUCGGGAUGCGGAGUCACUAGAGGGGGACAGAGGUUGGAGCCGACCCCAAGCGCCGUCCGCCGGCCAAACCCUUCUCCAGUCCGUGUCCUUGGGCUGCCGGUGCCGGGCGGGGUCACUGCCGGACUGAAAAGCCGACAGGGGCUUCGGUUUUUCCGCAG